AGUGAACGCUGGCGGUAGGCCUAACACAUGCAAGUCGAACGGCAGCACAGUAAGAGCUUGCUCUUACGGGUGGCGAGUGGCGGACGGGUGAGGAAUACAUCGCAAUCUACUUUUACGGGGGGGAUAACGUAGGGAAACUUCCGCUAAUACCGCAUAUGACCUACGGGUGAAAGCAGGAGUUCUUCGCACCUUGCGCGAUUGAAUGAGCCGAUGUCGGAUUAGCUAGUUGGCGGGGUAAAGGCCCACCAAGGCAACGAUACGUAGCUGGUCUGAGAGGAUGAUCAGCCACACCGGAACUGAGACACGGUCCAGACCCCUACGGGAGGCAGCAGUGGGGAAUAUUGGACAAUGGGCGCAAGCCUGAUCCAGCCAUACCGCGUGGGUGAAGAAGGCCUUCGGGUUGUAAAGCCCUUUUGUUGGGAAAGAAAAGCAGCAGGUUAAUACCCCGCUGUUCUGACGGUACCCAAAGAAUAAGCACCGGCUAACUUCGUG
rnacentral:rRNA from 1 species